AUUACUCCUACGGGAGGCAGCAGUGGGGAAUAUUGCACAAUGGGGGAAACCCUGAUGCAGCAACGCCGCGUGAGUGAUGAAGGUCUUCGGAUUGUAAAACUCUGUCUUUGGGGACGAUAAUGACGGUACCCAAGGAGGAAGCCACGGCUAACUACGUGCCAGCAGCCGCGGUAAUAAU
rnacentral:rRNA from 1 species